rnacentral:rRNA from 1 species
GACCCGUCUUGAAACACGGACCAAGGAGUCUAGCAUGUGCGCGAGCCAUUGGGACUCGUUUAAGCCUACAGGCGUAAUGAAAGUGAAGGUUCGCCUUGCGCGAAACUAGGGAGGAUGAGCGGCGUCGAGGCGCCGCUUCGCACUCCCGGGGCGUCUCGUUCUCGUCGUCGUUCGCGCGGCGUCGAGAAGAGGCGCACCUAGAGCGUACACGCUGGGACCCGAAAGAUGGUGAACUAUGCCUGGUCAGGACGAAGUCAGGGGAAACCCUGAUGGAGGUCCGUAGCGAUUCUGACGUGCAAAUCGAUCGUCGGAACUGGGUAUAGGGGCGAAAGACUAAUCGAACCAUCUAGUAGCUGGUUCCCUCCGAAGUUUCCCUCAGGAUAGCUGGCGCUCGCUACGUGCGAGUCUCAUCCGGUAAAGCGAAUGAUUAGAGGCAUUGGGGUCGAAACGGCCUCAACCUAUUCUCAAACUUUAAAUGGGUGAGAUCUCCGGCUUGCUUGAAAUAUUGAAGCCGCGAGAUUUAUUUCGGAUCAGAGUGCCAAGUGGGCCAUUUUUGGUAAGCAGAACUGGCGCUGUGGGAUGAACCAAACGCAGAGUUAAAGCGCCAAAAUCGACGCUUAUGGGAUACCAUGAAAGGCGUUGGUAACUUAAGACAGCAGGACGGUGGCCAUGGAAGUCGGAAUCCGCUAA